rnacentral:rRNA from 1 species
GACGAACGCUGGCGGCGUGCUUAACACAUGCAAGUCGAACGGAAAGGCCCUGCCUGCAGGGUACUCGAGUGGCGAACGGGUGAGUAACACGUGGGUGAUCUGCCCUGCACUUCGGGAUAAGCCUGGGAAACUGGGUCUAAUACCGGAUAGGAGCCAUUUUUAGUGUGAUGGUUGGAUAGUUUUUUCGGUGUAGGAUGAGCUCGCGGCCUAUCAGCUUGUUGGUGGGGUAAUGGGCUACCAAGGCGGCGGCGGGUAGCCGGCCUGGGGGGGUGGACGGCCACAAUGGGGCUUAGGUACGGCCCCGACUCCCACGGGGGGCAGCAGUGGGGAAUAUUGCACAAUGGGCGCAAGCCUGGUGCAGCGACGCCGCGUGGGGGAUGACGGCCUUCGGGUUGGAAACUCCUUUCGCUAGGGACGAAGCUUUUUGUGACGGUACCUAGAUAAGAAGCACCGGCUAACUACGUG